rnacentral:snRNA from 1 species
UUUGGCAGCACAUAUACUAAAAAAAAAAAAAAAAAAUAGAAUGAUGCAGAGAAGAUUAGCAUGGCCUCUGCACAAGGAUGUGAUGUGGUUUGGCUGCAUCCCCAAUCAAAUCU